GUUAUGUGUGACAACCCCCUGAAUUUAAGCAUA
rnacentral:rRNA from 2 species